GGUUAAGCGACUAAGCGUACACGGUGGAUGCCCUGGCAGUCAGAGGCGAUGAAGGACGUGCUAAUCUGCGAUAAGCGUCGGUAAGGUGAUAUGAACCGUUAUAACCGGCGAUUUCCGAAUGGGGAAACCCAGUGUGAUUCGUCACACUAUCAUUACGUGAAUACAUAGCGUAAUGAAGCGAACCGGGGGAACUGAAACAUCUAAGUACCCCGAGGAAAAGAAAUCAACCGAGAUUCCCCCAGUAGCGGCGAGCGAACGGGGAGCAGCCCAGAGUCUGAAUCAGCUUGUGUGUUAGUGGAACGGUCUGGAAAGUCCGACGGUACAGGGUGAUAGUCCCGUACACCAAAAUGCACAGGUUGUGAACUCGAAGAGUAGGGCGGGACACGUGGUAUCCUGUCUGAAUAUGGGGGGACCAUCCUCCAAGGCUAAAUACUCCUGACUGACCGAUAGUGAACCAGUACCGUGAGGGAAAGGCGAAAAGAACCCCGGCGAGGGGAGUGAAAAAGAACCUGAAACCGUGUACGUACAAGCAGUGGGAGCAUCCUUUUGGGUGUGACUGCGUACCUUUUGUAUAAUGGGUCAGCGACUUAUAUUCUGUAGCAAGGUUAACCGUAUAGGGGAGCCGAAGGGAAACCGAGUCUUAACUGGGCGUUAAGUUGCAGGGUAUAGACCCGAAACCCGGUGAUCUAGCCAUGGGCAGGUUGAAGGUUGGGUAACACUAACUGGAGGACCGAACCGACUAAUGUUGAAAAAUUAGCGGAUGACUUGUGGCUGGGGGUGAAAGGCCAAUCAAACCGGGAGAUAGCUGGUUCUCCCCGAAAGCUAUUUAGGUAGCGCCUCGUGAACUCAUCUUCGGGGGUAGAGCACUGUUUCGGCUAGGGGGUCAUCCCGACUUACCAACCCGAUGCAAACUGCGAAUACCGAAGAAUGUUAUCACGGGAGACACACGGCGGGUGCUAACGUCCGUCGUGAAGAGGGAAACAACCCAGACCGCCAGCUAAGGUCCCAAAGUCAUGGUUAAGUGGGAAACGAUGUGGGAAGGCACAGACAGCCAGGAUGUUGGCUUAGAAGCAGCCAUCAUUUAAAGAAAGCGUAAUAGCUCACUGGUCGAGUCGGCCUGCGCGGAAGAUGUAACGGGGCUAAACCAUGCACCGAAGCUGCGGCAGCGACACUAUGUGUUGUUGGGUAGGGGAGCGUUCUGUAAGCCGUUGAAGGUGUAUCGUGAGGUAUGCUGGAGGUAUCAGAAGUGCGAAUGCUGACAUAAGUAACGAUAAUGCGGGUGAAAAACCCGCACGCCGGAAGACCAAGGGUUCCUGUCCAACGUUAAUCGGGGCAGGGUGAGUCGACCCCUAAGGCGAGGCCGAAAGGCGUAGUCGAUGGGAAACAGGUUAAUAUUCCUGUACUUGGUGUUACUGCGAAGGGGGGACGGAGAAGGCUAUGUUAGCCGGGCGACGGUUGUCCCGGUUUAAGCAUGUAGGCGGAGGUUCCAGGUAAAUCCGGUACCUUUUUAACGCUGAGGUGUGAUGACGAGGCACUACGGUGCUGAAGUAACAAAUGCCCUGCUUCCAGGAAAAGCCUCUAAGCAUCAGGUAACACGAAAUCGUACCCCAAACCGACACAGGUGGUCAGGUAGAGAAUACCAAGGCGCUUGAGAGAACUCGGGUGAAGGAACUAGGCAAAAUGGUGCCGUAACUUCGGGAGAAGGCACGCUGAUAUGUAGGUGAAGUGAUUUACUCAUGGAGCUGAAAUCAGUCGAAGAUACCAGCUGGCUGCAACUGUUUAUUAAAAACACAGCACUGUGCAAACACGAAAGUGGACGUAUACGGUGUGACGCCUGCCCGGUGCCGGAAGGUUAAUUGAUGGGGUUAUCCGUAAGGAGAAGCUCUUGAUCGAAGCCCCGGUAAACGGCGGCCGUAACUAUAACGGUCCUAAGGUAGCGAAAUUCCUUGUCGGGUAAGUUCCGACCUGCACGAAUGGCGUAAUGAUGGCCAGGCUGUCUCCACCCGAGACUCAGUGAAAUUGAACUCGCUGUGAAGAUGCAGUGUACCCGCGGCAAGACGGAAAGACCCCGUGAACCUUUACUAUAGCUUGACACUGAACACUGGUCCUUGAUGUGUAGGAUAGGUGGGAGGCUUUGAAGUGUGGACGCCAGUCUGCAUGGAGCCAUCCUUGAAAUACCACCCUUUAAUGGCUGGUGUUCUAACGUGGACCCGUGAUCCGGGUUGCGGACAGUGUCUGGUGGGUAGUUUGACUGGGGCGGUCUCCUCCUAAAGAGUAACGGAGGAGCACGAAGGUUAGCUAAUCCUGGUCGGACAUCAGGAGGUUAGUGCAAAGGCAUAAGCUAGCUUGACUGCGAGAGUGACGGCUCGAGCAGGUGCGAAAGCAGGUCUUAGUGAUCCGGUGGUUCUGAAUGGAAGGGCCAUCGCUCAACGGAUAAAAGGUACUCCGGGGAUAACAGGCUGAUACCGCCCAAGAGUUCAUAUCGACGGCGGUGUUUGGCACCUCGAUGUCGGCUCAUCACAUCCUGGGGCUGAAGUAGGUCCCAAGGGUAUGGCUGUUCGCCAUUUAAAGUGGUACGCGAGCUGGGUUUAGAACGUCGUGAGACAGUUCGGUCCCUAUCUGCCGUGGGCGCUGGAGAAUUGAGGGGGGCUGCUCCUAGUACGAGAGGACCGGAGUGGACGCAUCACUGGUGUUCGGGUUGUCAUGCCAAUGGCAUUGCCCGGUAGCUAAAUGCGGAAGAGAUAAGUGCUGAAAGCAUCUAAGCACGAAACUUGCCCCGAGAUGAGUUCUCCCUGAGACUUUAAGUCUCCUGAAGGAACGUUGAAGACGACGACGUUGAUAGGUCGGGUGUGUAAGCGUAGCGAUACGUUGAGCUAACCGAUACUAAUGAACCGUGAGGCUUAACCUU
rnacentral:rRNA from 1 species